rnacentral:rRNA from 1 species
AGUGAACGCUGGCGGUAGGCCUAACACAUGCAAGUCGAACGGCAGCACAGUAAGAGCUUGCUCUUACGGGUGGCGAGUGGCGGACGGGUGAGGAAUACAUCGGAAUCUACUUUUUCGUGGGGGAUAACGUAGGGAAACUUACGCUAAUACCGCAUACGACCUACGGGUGAAAGCAGGGGAUCUUCUGACCUUGCGCGAUUGAAUGAGCCGAUGUCGGAUUAGCUAGUUGGCGGGGUAAAGGCCCACCAAGGCGACGAUCCGUAGCUGGUCUGAGAGGAUGAUCAGCCACACUGGAACUGAGACACGGUCCAGACUCCUACGGGAGGCAGCAGUGGGGAAUAUUGGACAAUGGGCGCAAGCCUGAUCCAGCCAUACCGCGUGGGUGAAGAAGGCCUUGGGGUUGUAAAGCCCUUUUGUUGGGAAAGAAAAGCAGCAGGUUAAUACCCCGCUGUUCUGACGGUACCCAAAGAAUAAGCACCGGCUAACUUCGUG